CGGAGGUGGCGAGCGUUGCUCGGAUUCAUUGGGUGUAAAGGGUCGGUAGGCGGUUUUGUAAGUGCCCGGUGAAAUUCUACGGCUCAACCGUAGAACGUUCGGGUAGACUGCAGAACUUGAGGACUGGAGGGGCAAGCGGAAUUCCCGGUGUAAGGGUGAAAUCUGUAGAUAUCGGGAGGAACACCAGUGGCGAAGGCGGCUUGCUGGACAGUACCUGACGCUGAGCGACGAAAGCGUGGGGAGCAAACAGGAUUAGAUACCCUGGUAGUCCACGCUGUAAACUUUGAGGACUAGGUGCCAGCUCGGUUCGAGUUGGUGCCGCAGGUAACCCAUUAAGUCCUCCACCUGGGGAGUACGUCCGCAAGGAUG
rnacentral:rRNA from 1 species